rnacentral:rRNA from 1 species
GACGAAUGCUGGCUGCGUGCUUAACACAUGCAAGUCGAACGGUGAAGGAGGGCUUGCCCUCCGGAUCAGUGGCGAACGGGUGAGUAACACGUGGGCAACCUGCCCCUCACUCUGGGAUAACGCCGGGAAACCGGCGCUAAUACCGGAUACGACCAGGCGCGACAUCUCGCCUGGUGGAAAGAAUUUCGGUGAGGGAUGGGCCCGCGGCCUAUCAGCUAGUUGGUGGGGUAACGGCCCACCAAGGCGACGACGGGUAGCCGGCCUGAGAGGGCGACCGGCCACACUGGGACUGAGACACGGCCCAGACUCCUACGGGAGGCAGCAGUGGGGAAUAUUGCGCAAUGGGCGAAAGCCUGACGCAGCGACGCAGCGUGAGGGACGAAGGCCUUCGGGUUGUAAAUCUCUUUCAGCGGGGACGAAGCGAAAGUGACGGUACCCGCAGAAGAAGCACCGGCUAACUACGUGCCAGCCGCCGCUGUAACAC